rnacentral:lncRNA from 1 species
GCAGAGGAGGGGCCCCCACAAAGGCAGCCUGUUUUCAGCUCAACUCAGCAGAUCCCUCAGCUCCAGAAUAUAAUGAGAAAAGUAUCCUCGGCUUGCUUGGGGGCACAGGAGGCUGGGGAGAGAAGGCUAGAUAUGCAGUUCUCCUUCCAUCAUGGAAAUUAUGAAGCUUCUGAAUAUAAGGAAUGAGACCAGAGGCAAUGACACUGGUUUUGUGGGAGACUGCCA